GAAAAAUAAAAUGAAAAGUUUUGUUGAGAGAGAGAGAGAGAGAGAAAGAGAGAGAGCUCUCUGAAACAGAUAGAAGAAACGACACAGAGGGAAGAAGCCGGACGGAAAGGGAACGACGUAGAGAGGCGAAAGAAACGUACUCAUGGCGGAGAGACUCAGCAAAGAAGAAAACACUCUCCCUUCAACCAGGCUCGAAACCACCUCAGUAUGUGCUUGUGCAGUAACAGAAGAUCUGGAUGAUGAUGGUUUUGGACCAACUCCAAAGCCUUUUAAGUAUCCCGAUUUCUUUCCAAGAAUCUCGAUUGACAGCUGCUCCUGAGUUAAAAAUUGGAUCGUGGUGGCAUUUUUACUUGCAACAAUGAUCUAAUUUGCUUGAAUGUUCAUUUUUGUUUGAUAAGGACACACAUACUUUGUAGAGUUGCACUAAUUAUUGUUGGAUGUUUUGUGGAAUUGCAUUAGUCAUAAUUGUUGGAUAUUUUGUAGAUAUUGAACUAUUUUGUUGUAUUAGGAUGAAAUUAUUUGUAAUGAAUGAAUAUUUUCAUUUUGUUAAUUCGUAAUCGUGUUGAUUUA